AUUGAACGCUGGCGGAAUGCUUUACACAUGCAAGUCGAACGGUAGAGGGGGCAACCCCUCGAGAGUGGCGAACGGGUGAGUAAUAUAUCGGAACGUGCCCAGUCGGGGGGGAUAACGUAGCGAAAGUUACGCUAAUACCGCAUACGAUCUAAGGAUGAAAGCGGGGGAUCGCAAGACCUCGCGCGAUUGGAGCGGCCGAUAUCAGAUUAGGUAGUUGGUGGGGUAAAGGCUCACCAAGCCAACGAUCUGUAGCUGGGCUGAGAGGGCGACCAGCCACACUGGAACUGAGACACGGUCCAGACUCCUACGGGAGGCAGCAGUGGGGAAUUUUGGACAAUGGACGCAAGUCUGAUCCAGCCAUUCCGCGUGCAGGAUGAAGGCCCUCGGGUUGUAAACUACUUUUGUACGGAACGAAAAGGUCUCUCUUAAUACGGGGGGCUCAUGACGGUACCGUAAGAAUAAGCACCGGCUAACUACGUGCCAGCCGCCGCGGUAA
rnacentral:rRNA from 1 species